GCGUGGAGGGGUUUUCUUCAACUGUGGAGAGUUGUAGGUCUUGCAUGUUUAAUCUUUUGAUAUGAUUUCUUAGACAGAUAAAGUCUCAUGGACAUUGAUAGUUGUUGGGCAUGGCAUGCCUGUGUUUGCAAAUGAAGGUUUUGCUACUACCUAAAACGAUAUAAGGGAUGCGGCAUGGAGUCUAAUGAAGGAUCCUUCAUUUCAUUUCUAUACUGCAUGCUAGGAGCCAUUCUGGAUUACUUGAGGAAGAUUGGGGAUUCUUCUACAUAGUGAGAAAUGAUUGCAACAUUCAUGUGUGUUGCAGGAUUUACGUACCAUGGUGUUAAACUAGCUGAGAGAGUUGCAAACCCGAAACUACUGGAUACUAUUACUAUGCACUUUUAGCUAAUAUCUAUGCUGCGGUAAAAAUGUUGAAGUGGAGAAAAUGAGAGAGAAGAUCAGCAGGAAGGGUUUAAGAAACGGACCCAAGCUGCACCCUAGUCGGAUGAUAAUCAAAGUUGUAGUACUAAAAGUAAAUCAGGUUUUAUAGAAGGAUGCCAAUGGAACGAUGCUGGGCUGAAUGUUACUAAAUUAUUACUGUUUUACAGUUGGAUUUAUGAUACUGAAAAAUCAUUAUUAUCAAAA